GAACUAGACAAGUUCCGAUGGAAUUUGCAUCAGAAUGGUACCUUUUCAGUCAAAUCCUUGUAUGAUGCAAUGACCCACACCGAUGUACCGGUUGAUAACAAGAAAUUGUGGAAGCUCAAAAUUCCCCUAAGAGUGAAGAUAUUCCUCUGGUUUCUAAACAGAGGGGUCAUCUUAACUAGAGAUAACUUGGCACGACGCAACUGGCAAGGUAGCAAGACAUGUGUCUUUUGCCAACAUGACGAGUCCAUCAAACACUUAUUUUUUGAGUGUUAUCCAUGCGUGUACGCGAUGGCUUCGUACGUGGUCUAUCCUGCAGAGGCCGGAGGACAGAGACCUUUUUAUGAUGGCGUCUACACGGCUGGAGCAUACAACUAG
rnacentral:rRNA from 1 species